UACGUAUGGAGCAAGCGUUAUCCGGAUUUACUGGGUGUAAAGGGAGCGCAGGCGGCUUUGCAAGUCUGAUGUGAAAACCCGAGGCUCAACCACGGGAGUGCAUUGGAAACUGGCGUGCUGGAGUGCCGGAGAGGUAAGCGGAAUUCCUAGUGUAGCGGUGAAAUGCGUAGAUAUUAGGAGGAACACCAGUGGCGAAGGCGGCUUACUGGACGGCAACUGACGCUGAGGCUCGAAAGCGUGGGGAGCAAACAGG
rnacentral:rRNA from 1 species